rnacentral:rRNA from 1 species
GUGAGGAAUAUUGCGCAAUGGAGGCAACUCUGACGCAGCCAUGCCGCGUGCAGGAAGAAGGCGCUACGCGUUGUAAACUGCUUUUAACCGGGAAGAAACCCCAGGACGUGUCCUGGGUUGACGGUACCGGAGGAAUAAGCACCGGCUAACUUCGUGCCAGCAGCCGCGGUAAUACGAAGGGUGCAAGCGUUAUCCGGAUUCAUUGGGUUUAACGGGUGCGUAGGCGGUGCGUUAAGUCAGUGGUGAAAUCCUGCAGCUUAACUGUAGACUUGCCAUUGAUACUGGCGCUCUUGAGUGCGCUUGAAGUGGGCUGAAUGUACCGUGUAGCGGUGAAAUGCUUAGAUAUGGCACAGAACACCAAUUGCGAAGGCAGCUCACUAAGGCGAUACUGACGCUGAGGCACGAAAGCGUGGGGAUCGAACAGGAUUAGAAACCCCGGUAGUCC